UACACUCCUGCGGGAGGCAGCAGUGGGGAAUUUUGGACAAUGGGCGAAAGCCUGAUCCAGCAAUGCCGCGUGUGUGAAGAAGGCCUUCGGGUUGUAAAGCACUUUUGUCCGGAAAGAAAUCCUUGGCUCUAAUACAGUCGGGGGAUGACGGUACCGGAAGAAUAAGCACCGGCUAACUACGUGCCAGCAGCCGCGGUAAUACGUAGGGUGCGAGCGUUAAUCGGAAUUACUGGGCGUAAAGCGUGCGCAGGCGGUUUGCUAAGACCGAUGUGAAAUCCCCGGGCUCAACCUGGGAACUGCAUUGGUGACUGGCAGGCUAGAGUAUGGCAGAGGGGGGUAGAAUUCCACGUGUAGCAGUGAAAUGCGUAGAGAUGUGGAGGAAUACCGAUGGCGAAGGCAGCCCCCUGGGCCAAUACUGACGCUCAUGCACGAAAGCGUGGGGAGCAAACAGGAUUAGAUACCCUAGUAGUCCCAUGA
rnacentral:rRNA from 1 species